rnacentral:rRNA from 1 species
AUGAACGCUGGCGGCGUGCCUAAUACAUGCAAGUCGAGCGAACAGACGAGGAGCUUGCUCCUCUGACGUUAGCGGCGGACGGGUGAGUAACACGUGGAUAACCUACCUAUAAGACUGGGAUAACUUCGGGAAACCGGAGCUAAUACCGGAUAAUAUAUUGAACCGCAUGGUUCAAUAGUGAAAGUCGGUUUUGCUGUCACUUAUAGAUGGAUCCGCGCCGCAUUAGCUAGUUGGUAAGGUAACGGCUUACCAAGGCAACGAUGCGUAGCCGACCUGAGAGGGUGAUCGGCCACACUGGAAAUGAGACACGGUCCAGACUCCUACGGGAGGCAGCAGUAGGGAAUCUUCCGCAAUGGGCGAAAGCCUGACGGAGCAACGCCGCGUGAGUGAUGAAGGUCUUCGGAUCGUAAAACUCUGUUAUUAGGGAAGAACAAAUGUGUAAGUAACUAUGCACGUCUUGACGGUACCUAAUCAGAAAGCCACGGCUAACUACGUG